CCGCCCCGCGCAGAGCCCCGCUCUGCCUCCUCCCCUCGGGGCCUGCCUCCUCCCCUCGGGGCGAAGGGAAACACAAGGCCACGGGCGGGGAGGUGAGGGACAAGUAAGACCCGGAGACGUGCGCGGUGGUGGCCAUGAGCAUUAACUGUGCCCCGCGCUUACUGGGCCCUCGUGCUGUGUCCUUCUUCCAAGCCACCAUCAUCUCUCAUCUCCUCCCUGGACUGCACCCCAACCACCUCCUGAAGCCCUGCCUUCUUCCGCUCCGCUCCUCUCUGAUCCGAUCUGCUGUGAUUACAGUGCAAGAUCCCGGGCGCUCCAUCACUGCCCUCUCAGAACACAAACUCCUGAAGGCAAGGAGCAGUGUCUGUUGAUUUCUCCACUUCACAAAAAGUGUUUGUUAAAAUAUUUAAAACCUAAAUGAAUAAGUGAAAAUGUAA